UACGGGGGGGGCGAGCGUUGUCCGGAAUUAUUGGGCGUAAAGGGCGCGUAGGCGGAAUGGUAAGUCGGUGGUGAAACCUCGGAGCUUAACUCUGGGCCUGCCUCCGAUACUGCUGUUCUUGAGUGUGGGAGAGGAAAGCGGAAUUCCCGGUGUAGCGGUGAAAUGCGUAGAUAUCGGGAAGAACACCGGUAGCGAAGGCGGCUUUCUGGCCCGCAACUGACGCUGAGGCGCGAAAGCGUGGGGAGCAAACAGG
rnacentral:rRNA from 1 species